CCAUAAUAAAAGAUUUGAAAGAAAACAUUUAAACUUUAAUAAAUGAUUCGAAAGAGAACAUUUAAACCCCCUAAAAGCACAGGAUCGCAUCCAGGUUACAGUAUUGAAAUUAGAAUCUACCACUAUUAUUACACAACAUCUCUUACCAAAUCAGAUCAUCUUCGAUAAGAAGAAUUACUGCCAAUCUAUUCCAGCCAUGACCUACAUCUGAAUCUCUAUAGCACUGCUCUAGCUUGUACCAACCUCAUCAACUUUCCUGAACACUCCUCGACCACUUGAUUCUCAACUCUGUCUCCUCGCCUAGCAUUAGCCUUAUUCACGAUCUCAAUCAAUCAUUUCAUCUUUCAGCCUUUCUGAAAUGGUUAGAAGGGAAAAGCAAGGGUGAGCAACAAUGCUCAGCAAGUAAUAAUAAACAAUGAUAGUUCUGAAAUGAUAUAACAGAAAUUCACGAGUUCAAGAUAUAAGAGGAUUCAACCUGAGUUCAUGAGUUCAUGGUAUUGUAUAGAAUGAUUUACAAUACCUUGCAGCAUUUAAACUGAGAAAUUCAAUCUUUCCAAAGAAUUAUUGAAUUGGACUAUCACAUUUUAAUUAAAACCAAGGUUAGGCAGCUGAUCAGUUCCGCACUAACCCCGAGCAGGCCCCGCCAUGCUCUAUCACUGGAUCCAAGGCACUCAUUGGCCUAACAUGACCACGAAUCUGGUCCACAGGUUUAUAUAAAAACAAUAAUCCAAUUCUCUAAUUCAAUUCAAGAAGCCAAUGUAAAUUAACAGAACAUCAUCAUAAAUAUCAUCAACAACAGAAUAAUUCCAAUUCAAACUUUGAUAAUAAUCUAUUCAUAAAUCAUGAUCCAUCAUUUCAUAAAUCACAGUUCAGGAAAUCCUCAACUAUUCAGUAUCCUCCAUUAUCGGCUAAGCAACUGAAUUUAGCCUGCUAAACCAGCAUGACAAUGGCGGGUUGAAUAAUCAAGAAGAUCCCAAUUCAUUCAAAGCUCUAACUAUCACUGAGCAACACAUGCUUCAAUGACAAUCUGAACUUCGAAUUAAUUUGUAAAACGGAAAUUCUUUAGAAACUUGAAGAUUAGAAAGAAUGGGUCAGAAUACUCGCACUUUCGAACAUUGAAAAGAAAGGUAUGAAUACUUGAAACAUAUACCAAAGGAAUGGAUCAGAAUAUUUGCAAUAUAUCCAAGAGAAAGGUUUAGGAUACUUGCCUUAAAUCUGACUCCAGUCUCACAUCUCAAUCUCAUCUUUCCACUUUCACAAUCUAUGCAUCUCAUAGUCUCUAGACCAUCUCUGGCUAUACUCUAUCUACCGUACAUCUUCGCUUCGCUUACUCGAUUCAUCCCUUAUUCGCUUUGUAACACCACGUGACUUUCUGAACGUCUUCGGGCAUACACGUCUCGUCCAAAUCCUUUACGAGAAUAAGAUAACACUAUAAUCACUAAACAAUCGAUCGCAUAUACAUCUCACGUAUAUCAAUACCCACUUAUAUAUCCCUUUAAACUUAUCAGAUACCACGUAACACAUAAGCAUGCUUUAACUCUAACAUAUAGUCAAUCAUAUUCCACAUAACAUAUCACCAAUCAAUUAUCAUAUAAAUCCUUAUCGAAAAUCCGACAUCGUCUCGUCUAUGUAUAAGACUAUCCACCUAUUAUCCUAUCUCAAUCAUUAAUCAACCAACAAAAUCCAAUAGCUAUAAUCCAUAUAUUCUUAUCCAAUAUCAAUCAUACGAAUCAUUUAUCACUUCACAAUAUCAAAACUAACACGUACUUCACAUAAUCAUCACCUGAUAGCACUUAGAUCACAUAUUAUCACAUUAUGCAUACUUAUCAACAAUUAUUCACCUUAUAGACUCAGCCAUAUAGUCACAUCAUAUUAAAAUAGACGUUAUAAGCUUCUGUCUCUCUUUCGUUUCACUUGAUUCCGACUUACGGAUCAAAAGUUAUGCUCAAAACAGUUUUCUCACUCUCCUAUCGGCACAUAACACAUCCAACCAAUAGCAGACAACACACAACACAUAAGGUUUCCCAUCCCAAUUGAUAUUAAAUCAAGUCUUGGGUUAAAAAUGAUUUUUCGGGAAUUUUCCAGAAUUUUUAAACAUUUUUCGGAAUUAAAAUCGAUAAAAGAAUCACUUUUCGAAUAAAUAAUCAAGUCCCAAAUACUUGAAAUUGGACUUGAAAUCAUUCAUAAACAAUUAUCGAGCCUUGAAAAUAAUUUGGAAAAAUAUUUUAAAGCUCGAAACUAUUUUUCGGAAUUUUUAAAUCAAAAAGGAUUAAUUAAAUCCAAUUAAUUAAUCAAUUAAAAUCAAUUAAUAAUUAAUUAAAAUAAUUAAUCAAUUAAUAUUUAAAUUAAUUGACCAAUUAAAAUAAUUAAUUACUAAUUAAAAUUAAUUAAUAAACUAAUUUAGAUUUAUUUUUGAAUAAAGAAAUAAUUAAAAACUAUUUUUGGAAUUUAAAAUAAUUAAAUAAAACAAUUUUAGAAAAUUAAAUCAAAAGGUUUAUUUUGUAAACUUUUGAAAGUUUUGUCCAGGGUUUAAAGUGUAACUUUUCAAAGUUACAGGGGGUAAUUCAUAAGUUUCAAAACCUGAGUACAAAAACUUCAUCAUCUUCAAAACUUCGGUGACCAAACAGCAAUAAGCCGCCGGCCACCACACUAACUCGCCGGAAAUUCGUUUCCAGGCGUCCUCCACUCACCAUCUACUCCAGAUCAGUAGUACACACACCCAUAAAUCAAUCCCCCAUCUUUAAUUAGGCAGAAGUCGCGCGAAUUCGCCGGAAAAUCCGGCCGAAGUCGGCGACUUCCCGCCGCCGAUGGCGGCGAUUCGAGCCACCUCCGCUCAAACCAAGCACACCAGCAUACUCCCCUUUCUCUCCUCUUUCUAUUCAUAUAUACCACUACUGCCCAGAUUUAGCGGAACCCAUUUUCCGGCCAAAAUUCAAACUUUUCCGGCAACAAGCUCAAGAACACCAAGAACACAAUUUCAAUAAUCAAACUGACUUUUCUACAUGUUAUUGAACUCCGUUUUUGACAUAUAAUAUACCAAAACGACGAGAAAAACAUGCUCUACAUCAUAGAAUCAUCAAAUCACAUAAACGGAAUCGUUUGCAAAAAUUCAUCAUUUAAAUCAUAUAAACUCGAAUUUUAGAAAAAUAAUCUAAAAUCACCUGUUGAAUCUGCAUAUAAACGGAUGAUUAAACUUGAUUCUACGCGUCGAUAGCUUCGUUUUGACUAUUUAUACGCCUCCAUCGGAUUCCAAUAACACCUUCAAAUCUUCGUUUGAUUAUGAAGAACACGAAGAACACCGCUCGGUUUCUCUCGAUAUUCGUGCAGAGAAACUGUUGAAAUGAUUUCUACGGUGAAAAUAAGUUACAGGAAAGUCUAUUUAUAUUUACAAAUAAUUGGUACCCCUUUGGAUCGUUUAUGACAUGAAAAUACGUAUUUAAUAGCUUUAUAUUAAUAAAGCGGGGUCCAAUCGGUACCGGUUUUCGAGAUAAUCAUCAAAACGGGGCUUUUUAACUCAAUUAUUGGUCUGCGGGUCCCAUUGCAAUUAUUACAAGAUAAGGAUGAAUAUAAUAAUCAAAAUAUCUCGUUUCACGCUUAUCGAGACAAACUGGAUAAUUAUCAACAAUUAAAAUACCCGAAAAACUCCGCCGGACCGACUCCGGGGAAAACCGUACUCCGGAUCGAAAAAGUCAAAACACGAAAAAUGUCCGGAAUAUUCAAAUUAGGCUAAAGGUGAGUUUUGUUGAAACUUCCGGGAAGAAAAUUUGCUACCUCGUUACGAGUGGACGGUUUUACGGAAGUCAAAUAAUUAAUAAAUAAAUAUAAAUAUACGCAAUUAAAUCCGUAAAUCGAUUAUAAAAUCAUCUAACAUUCCAUAAAUCGAUAUGAAAAUAUCCAAAUAAACUAUAUUUUCUCCUGAGCAUAUAGAAAUUGAAAUCUCUCAAAUACGAACACAUAUGAGCAGUUAACGCAAUAAACCAGAUAAUAUAAAAUUCACAAAAAUUCAUAUAUUAAUCAUAUAAUACUCAUAAUUAACCAUAAUUAAUUAACCAACAAAUCCACCAAUACCACUUACUCACAUCACACAUAUAUUCACAUAAUAAUCAUCUAGAAUUUUCGAAACAAUAUAUGAAAAUCAGUUUUAAAAAUAUAAUCAUUUAUCAAUAACACAAUAACCCGGGGUUUAAUAUAAAAUUUUGAAAACUCCUUAAACUGGAAUAAAAUAUUAAAUCUUAUUCCUUAUUUAUUAAGAAGACCACUUAUAAUACUAAUAAAAAUAUUUUUUAAAAAUCCGGGUCAUUACAAUCUACCCUCCUUAUAGGGAUUCCGUCCUCGGAAUCAGAGAAAGAAGGAGGAUGCAUAAUCUGUAAAAUCCAUACUAAUCCACAACACAAGUAUAAUCACAUACAACUAUUCACAUAAUCACAUCAAUAUUCAACUAGAGCCAACAAUAAUAUCUAGACAAAUACAUUUAUAAUAAUCAAUUCUAAAUUUAAUAAUAUGGGAUAUUACAUUCUACCCCCCUUAUAAGGAUUCCGCCCUCGGAAUCCGCGAAGAAAACUAAAACGUACACGCUUCGUAAUAUCACAUGCUCAUCCGCCCUUAAUCAACCUUGGCAUACCUUUAAAGUUAAAGAAAUAGGAGAAUCAAAGCCUUCACAAUUUCAAACUUCAUUUCCCAAGAAUUAAUCUUUUGGAAAUUUUGAAUAGAACCAAAUGUUUUCAAGGUAGAUCACAUUUGAAUAAAGGAGUGACUGAGAGAUCUAUAUGAUCAACGAACUUGGUGUUGCGUGUCCACAUUAGACACUACUAAAGGUUGUUAACCUUCUUGUAAUCACAACACACACAAGUGAUGGCGUCCCAUCCAACUCCUAUCACACAGACAGGUAUACCUUGUGUCCCCUAUAAAUAGGGUUGUUCAUCCCAAUCAAAUUGAAGAAAUGCUAAGGAAUAUCAAAGAAUAUCAAAGAAUCUCGAGAAUAUCAAAGAACAUCAAGGGAUAUCAAGGAUGAUGAAAGAAUAUCAAGGAAUGUCAAGAAAUGUCAAACAAUAUCAAGGAACAUCACUAUCUCUUCACAACAAACCUUUAUCACACAUCUUUGCUUUCCAACUCAUACCAAUAAUCAAUAUCAAUGUCAUUUUAGAAUUUGGAGAAAUUGAAGAUCUCGUUUAUCGAAAUGAUAUCAUAAUAACUCACUGAUGAAAAACCUAUAAUCACAAGAAUCUUUAGUUGAAGAGAGGUAUUGCCAAGGUCUUCUCAAAUUCCCACUCUACUUUACGAAAUCGUUAUUCGAUUUAUGUCAUCCUUUCAACGUUCUCGAUAAUCAAUCGAUUUGACUCGUAAUAGCCUCGUAAGAUGUCAUCGUAGACGUUAUCGUCCGUAAUAACUCUGGCCCAUGUAGUUUACAUUCUUCUACUUUAUCCCAGUUGCCCUUGAAAUCCAUAGCACAAACACGUAACGUAUCUUCGAUUGUCUGGAUCAUCAACCUGUGGGUUAUGGGCCCACCUUGAUGCCAUUUGAAAUCCCGAUUAGCUCGAAGCGUUGUCGUCGAGGACUAACGUUCUAACUUACUCGUAGACAUCAUCUCUAAUAACUGGACUCAAUUCCACGUACUCUCUAUCAUUCACUUCUCACCUAUCAACCUCUAUCUACCAAUCUCUCCUUCUAAUCCAAUACAACUCAUACUCUACACUUACUCUUCAUAUCUUCACUCAAAACAAUAUACAUCUUCCAAAUAUCUGACAUGGUCAACAUACUAUGAACCAUGCAUUUAUAUCAUCCUCAAAUCAAUAUGAUAAUCCGGUUUCAAAUAUGCAGUAUAGUCAGAAUACUCUGAACUCUGCAUUUUCACCAUUCUCAAUUCAAUCAUUCACUAUCAAACUCUUCUAUCUAGGUCUAAUACUGACCUUUCCCACAAUUCACCAUCUCAAUUAGUCAACAUACUAGAAAUCAUAUGUCUAACUUAGGAAUCAAAAUCUCUCUAAACUUCUACACUCAACUUGAUCGUCUAACCAGAUUCUAUACCUCUAUCACAUCUCUAGACUAUUUCUAAAUAGUCUCACAAUACCUCUAUACGAGGUCACCCAACAUUCUUCUCUAGAAAACCUAUAACUAUGAUCUAUAUUCUAAUUUCAAAUACUUAUAACCUGUUGCUCUGAUACCAACUGUGACGGUCCAGAAAUCCGGGGGUCUGGAUUCUGACGUCACCACAUAAAACCCAUUUUUAAACACUUUUGAAAACUCGUAUUUUUUUUUUAAUGAUAAUAUAAGUCAAAGGAUUUAAAACUGGAAAUUCAAACUUGAAAGCCAUAAUAAAAGAUUUGAAAGAAAACAUUUAAACUUUAAUAAAUGAUUCGAAAGAGAACAUUUAAACCCCCUAAAAGCACAGGAUCGCAUCCAGGUUACAGUAUUGAAAUUAGAAUCUACCACUAUUAUUACACAACAUCUCUUACCAAAUCAGAUCAUCUUCGAUAAGAAGAAUCACUGUCAACUAUUCCAGCUUGCACCAACCUCAUCAACUUUCCUGAACACUCCCCGACCACUG
rnacentral:lncRNA from 1 species